CCCGCUGAACUUAAGCAUAUCAAUAAGCGGAGGAAAAGAAACUAACAAGGAUUCCCCUAGUAACUGCGAGUGAACCGGGAAAAGCUCAAAUUUUGAAUCUGGCGGUCUUCAGGCCGUACGAGUUGGAAUCUAAAGAAGCGUCUUCCGCGCUGGACCGUGUAUAAGUUUCCUGGAAUGGAACGACGGAGAAGGGUGAGAAUCCGGACUUUGACACGGACUGCCAUGACUAUGUGAUGCGCUCUCGACGAGUCGAGUUGUUUGGGAAUGCAGCUCAAAUAGGGUGGUAAAUUCCAUCUAAAGCUAUAUACAGGCGAGAGACCGAUAGCGAACAAGUACCGUGAGGGAAAGAUGAAAAGAACUUUGGAAAGAGAGUUAAACAGAACGUGAAAUUGCUGAAAGGGAAACGCUUGAUGUCAGUCGCGUCGUCCGGGGAUCAGCCUUGCUCUUUUGCUCGGUGUAUUUCCGGGUCGACGGGUCAGCAUCGGUUUCGACCGUCGGAAAAUGGCUCGAGGAAUGUGGCACCCUUCGGGGUGUGUGAUAGACUCGGGUCUGACUACCGCGAUUGAGACUGAGGAACUCAGCACGACCUUAGGGUUCGGGGCUUCGCCCCACGAUCAACGUGCUUAGGAUGCUGGCAUAAUGGCCUUAACCGACCCGUCUUGAAACACGG
rnacentral:rRNA from 1 species